UACGAAGGGGGCUAGCGUUGCUCGGAAUCACUGGGCGUAAAGGGUGCGUAGGCGGGUCUUUAAGUCAGGGGUGAAAUCCUGGAGCUCAACUCCAGAACUGCCUUUGAUACUGAGGAUCUUGAGUUCGGGAGAGGUGAGUGGAAUUCCCAGUGUAGAGGUGAAAUUCGUAGAUAUUCGCAAGAACACCAGUGGCGAAGGCGGCUCACUGGCCCGGUACUGACGCUGAGGUGCGAAAGCGUGGGGAGCAAACAGG
rnacentral:rRNA from 1 species